GACGAACGCUGGCGGCGUGCUUAACACAUGCAAGUCGAGCGGUAAGGCCCUUUCGGGGGUACACGAGCGGCGAACGGGUGAGUAACACGUGGGUGACCUGCCCUCAGCUCUGGGAUAAGCCUGGGAAACUGGGUCUAAUACUGGAUAUGACUCCACGGUGCAUGUCGUGGGGUGGAAAGCCUUGUGCGGCUGAGGAUGGGCCCGCGGCCUAUCAGCUUGUUGGUGGGGGAUGGCCUACCAAGGCGACGACGGGUAGCCGGCCUGAGAGGGCGACCGGCCACACUGGGACUGAGACACGGCCCAGACUCCUACGGGAGGCAGCAGUGGGGAAUCUUGCGCAAUGGGCGAAAGCCUGACGCAGCGACGCCGCGUGAGGGAUGACGGCCUGGUGUAACGU
rnacentral:rRNA from 1 species